rnacentral:lncRNA from 1 species
GACAUUGGAGUUCCUGAAAGAAAAGAGAAAGAUCAAAUUAUAGGGCUUGCACUGAGUUUCAAAGAGGAUUGGCAAGAUGGGUUGUAGAAUCAAAUGACAGGCAGAGCAUGAGAGAGAGAGGAGGGAAGGAACAGAGGGCUAUUGAUGCAAACCUAUAGCCUAAUUAAUUAUCCACGACAGAAAAAGAAAUUCCUCCUACCCUUGCAAGUUGUCUUCUCUUCCUCUGAAUACAAAGCGUAUACCAACAGGAUCUACCAGCCAACUAGAACAGGACCCACUUGGUGAUCCACCACAUGCCAUGUGACGUUUUCCUCAGCCAUGGGAGGGGGCAACUCUCAUGUGUAGCUCUUGCUGACCCUGUAAGAAAACCCAUUCUGCAAAGUGGUCUCUUUAGAAUCUAUCCUUACUGGAACUGUGUGUGUCCUCUAAAAUGGCUGUGCUGUGA